AAGACCUCGCGCUWUUGGAGCGGCCGAUGUCCGAUUAGCUAGUUGGUGAGGUAAUGGCCCACCAAGGCAACGAUCGGUAGCUGGUCUGAGAGGAUGAUCAGCCACACUGGGACUGAGACACGGCCCAGACUCCUACGGGAGGCAGCAGUGGGGAAUUUUGGACAAUGGGCGCAAGCCUGAUCCAGCCAUGCCGCGUGAGUGAAGAAGGCCUUCGGGUUGUAAAGCUCUUUCGGCCGGAAAGAAAUCGUCCGGGCUAAUACCCCCGAUGGAUGACGGUACCGGAAGAAGAAGCACCGGCUAACUACGUGCCAGCAGCCGCGGUAAUACGUAGGGUGCAGGCGUUAAUCGGAAUUACUGGGCGUAAAGCGUGCGCAGGCGGCUUCCUAAGUCAGAUGUGAAAUCCCCGGGCUUAACCUGGGAACU
rnacentral:rRNA from 1 species